UGCAAGUCGAACGAAGCAUUUGCGACAGAUUUCUUCGGGAUGAAGUUGCUUAUGACUGAGUGGCGGACGGGUGAGUAACGCGUGGGUAACCUGCCUUGUACUGGGGGAUAGCAGCUGGAAACGGCUGGUAAUACCGCAUAAGCGCACAAUGUUGCAUGACAUGGUGUGAAAAACUCCGGUGGUAUAAGAUGGACCCGCGUCUGAUUAGCUAGUUGGUGAGAUAACAGCCCACCAAGGCGACGAUCAGUAGCCGACCUGAGAGGGUGACCGGCCACAUUGGGACUGAGACACGGCCCAGACUCCUACGGGAGGCAGCAGUGGGGAAUAUUGCACAAUGGAGGAAACUCUGAUGCAGCGACGCCGCGUGAGUGAAGAAGUAAUUCGUUAUGUAAAGCUCUAUCAGCAGGGAAGAUAGUGACGGUACCUGGCUAAGAAGCUCCGGCUAAAUACGUGCCAGCAGCCGCGGUAAUACGUAUGGAGCAAGCGUUAUCCGGAUUUACUGGGUGUAAAGGGAGUGUAGGUGGCCAUGCAAGUCAGAAGUGAAAAUCCGGGGCUCAACCCCGGAACUGCUUUUGAAACUGUAAGGCUAGAGUGCAGGAGGGGUGAGUGGAAUUCCUAGUGUAGCGGUGAAAUGCGUAGAUAUUAGGAGGAACACCAGUGGCGAAGGCGGCUCACUGGACUGUAACUGACACUGAGGCUCGAAAGCGUGGGGAGCAAA
rnacentral:rRNA from 1 species